UCAGAGUGUGGGAGGUUUUUGUACGGCCACUUAAUGAGUUUGUAUCACUGUGGUACACUUUUGGUGGAGGAACCAAACUCAUCAUUCACUCUGGCCCCAUGGUCAGACCCUCAGUCUCUCUGCUUCAACCCUCCUCUGAGAAGCUCUCUGGAGGCCCAGUCACACUGGCCUGCCUGCUGACCGGCUACUCUCCUCAGGGAGCUGAAGUGAGAUGGGAAGUAGAUGGCACAGAGGUGACAGAGGGGGUCCUGAACAGCUUAGAAGAAGAGAAGAGUAAUCGCUGCAGCAGCAGCAGCACCCUGAUGCUGAGCCAAGAGAACUGGAUGAACGCAGAGGUGUUCUCCUGCAGGGUGAACCAUCAUGACUACUGGCAGUCCAAGUCCUUCCGCAAGAACCGGUGUGAGGGCUAGAGGGGCUGCUGAAGUCCAAGACAGGAGCUUAGUGUUGGGGAAGCAGGAGAUACAUCCCUGCUGCUCUGAUCAAUAUGAGUUUGAAAGUUUGUUGAUGAAAUUAUUUGAUAACAACAACUUAGAUAGUGACAUGUGUAGCAGCUGGAUGUGAGUGUGCCUAAUAACUGCCGUAAUUAUGAUUCCUAUUUUUGCCAAUAAAGCUUGCAGUGAUUCAUAUUA